UGGGGGAAUAUUGCACAAUGGGCGCAAGCCUGAUGCAGCAACGCCGCGUGAGGGACGACGGCCUUCGGGUUGUAAACCUCUUUUAGUAGGGAAGAAGCGAAAGUGACGGUACCUGCAGAAAAAGCACCGGCUAACUACGUGCCAGCAGCCGCGGUAAUACGUAGGGUGCGAGCGUUGUCCGGAAUUAUUGGGCGUAAAGAGCUCGUAGGCGGUCUGUCGCGUCUGCUGUGAAAACCCGAGGCUCAACCUCGGGCCUGCAGUGGGUACGGGCAGACUAGAGUGCGGUAGGGGAGAAUGGAAUUCCUGGUGUAGCGGUGGAAUGCGCAGAUAUCAGGAGGAACACCGAUGGCGAGGGCAGUUCUCUGGGCCGUAACUGACGCUGAGGAGCGAAACGCGUGGGGAGCGAACAGGAUUAGAUACCCUGGUAGUCCACGCCGUAAACGUUGGGCGCUAGAUGUGGGGACCAUUCCACGGUUUCCGUGUC
rnacentral:rRNA from 1 species